rnacentral:tRNA from 3 species
CAAGAAAUAGUUUAAAUAAAAUAUUAAUUUUGGAGAUUAAUGAUAAAGAUUUUUCUUUUUUCUUGA